rnacentral:rRNA from 1 species
UACGUAGGGAGCGAGCGUUGUCCGGAUUCAUUGGGCGUAAAGAGCUCGUAGGCGGCUUGAUAAGUCGGAUGUGAAACCUCCAGGCUCAACCUGGAGUCGCCAUCCGAUACUGUCAUGGCUAGAGUCCGGUAGGGGCCCACGGAACUCCUGGUGUAGCGGUGAAAUGCGCAGAUAUCAGGAAGAACACCGGUGGCGAAGGCGGUGGGCUGGGCCGGCACUGACGCUGAGACGCGAAAGCGUGGGGAGCGAACAGG